rfam:Tupaia chinensis contig87434, whole genome shotgun sequence.
GUUCUUUUUCAGCAGCACAUAUACUAUAACUGGAAUGACACAGAGAUUAGCAUGGCCCUUGUACAAGGAUGAUGCACAAAUUGUGAAGCAUUACGUAUUUAA